GGGAAAUCUUACCGGGUCCGGACACACUAAGGAUUGACAGGUAAAGUAAUCAAUUCUUCUUUUGAAGAUUGGUUCUGCAAAUAUGCUAGUCCUUUCAUGAUUGUGUGAUAGGUGGUGCAUGGCCGUUCUUAGUUCGUGGAAUAAUCUGUCUGCUUAAUUGCGUUAAUAUAUGGUGUUAAAUUCUGUCAAACCCUCAGUUUGGAAGCUUAACUCUUCGGGGUGGCUCCAUUCAGAGGCUGGAGUUUAGCACUCUAUGCAACGA
rnacentral:rRNA from 2 species